rnacentral:tRNA from 1 species
GUGGGUAUAGUUCAGUGGUACAGUGUGUGCUUGGCGUGCCCGAGGUCCUGGGUUCAAUCCCCAGUGCCUCCG